AUGUCACUAAAAGUGGUGAGCCGGCUCAUGGGUUCUACAGGAACCACCGGAGAAGAGAUGCGCAACCUAAUCGCAAAUGAUAGCAAUGCAGUUAGUAAUUUGGAGGCCAUUCUUGACAUGGAUACCAAGAGCGGCAGCGGUGUCAUAGAGCUACAUGUGCAAGCUAUAGAGGUUCUUACACAAUUAGCCUUGCAUCAUCCAACAAGUUCUGCUACUAGGGGAAGAGAAAGACUUAUCAAGCAGGCGCUACACAUCUUUGUUACUGCGGAUUGGAUGAGAGAUUAUUUGGAAGAUGAGAAAAAGAAGAUCGACCAACCAACUCAACGUUCAAUGCUAGCACAGGGGAAAAAGAAGAUGAAAGAAGCUCAGGAAACUGCAAGCCGGCUUAAAGAAAAGGCUGGUGAAGCAUUGGCCAUGUUGUCAUGUGAUUCAGAGGCCAUCAAGAGCUUCACAGCAUGCAAAGAUGACGAAGUCUGUCGUCUUACUGAAUUGCUCGACUCCAAUAUCAAGACCAUCAAAUGCAAAAUAAGUGCAACAGAUACUAUGGAAAUAGAGAUCAAAAUUGGUUGUCGUAUUAGCGCAACAGUCAUCUUAAAGCAUUUGAGCAACUACAUCAAGGCACCAACCUUACGGAAGGUACUCACAGAGUUGCUUCCUGUAAAACAAGCGGAAGCGAGAGGUACACACAGAAUCCGGUGUUGGGAGCGUGUCACCCAUUACAAUUCAGGAAGUAGAAGUGACAUAGAAAAUCCAAGUGACGGUGGGGAAGGCAAGCCUUCCGCUUUACGGAGCCGCAACCAGCAAUGUGACGGGAGGAGGCUACAAGCAGAGCUGUUAUCACUCAUCACAAAGAUUCGUGCAAGCAACAAUCUUAAUUUUACAGAAAUCUUACUUUCUCAGACGCCGCCGAAUACCCUGGAAGACUUUGUGGUGAUGCUCAAGAAGAUGGUGGAGGACAACAUCUAUGCCACCCCUACAUGCCUGGCGAUACAGAAGCUCACCUGCGAGAUGGUUGAAGAAUUCCUCCAAGAUGAUGGAAACGUCGAAGUGAUUGACAAGCACGAUAUCAUUGGUACGUUACUGAAGGCUUCAAAAACAAUGGACCGGCUCGAGAGCAGCAUGCAUUUCACCGGCGUCUGUCAUGACUGUCAUGGGGUUCCUCUGAAGCCUCUCUCAUCCGUCCUCGCUAAACGGGCAGGAGAUCUUUUGACACGGAGGAAGCGCACUCUGGGUAUCAACAUUGCGCCUGCCGGUGUACCACUUCCCUGA
rnacentral:rRNA from 1 species